GACGAAGGGGGCUAGCGUUGUUCGGAAUUACUGGGCGGAAAGCGCGUGUAGGCGGUUGUUCAAGUCAGGUGUGAAAGCCUUGAGCUCAACUCAAGAAAUGCACUUGAUACUGGAUGACUAGAGGACCGGAGAGGAUAGUGGAAUUCCCAGUGUAGUGGUGAAAUACGUAGAGAUUGGGAAGAACACCAGUGGCGAAGGCGGCUAUCUGGACGGUUUCUGACGCUAAGACGCGAAAGCGUGGGGAGCAAACAGG
rnacentral:rRNA from 1 species